rnacentral:rRNA from 1 species
UACGAAGGGGGCUAGCGUUGUUCGGAAUCACUGGGCGUAAAGGGCGCGUAGGCGGCUUUUCAAGUCGGGGGUGAAAGCCUGUGGCUCAACCACAGAAUUGCCUUCGAUACUGUUAGGCUUGAGACCGGAAGAGGUGAGUGGAACUGCGAGUGUAGAGGUGAAAUUCGUAGAUAUUCGCAAGAACACCAGUGGCGAAGGCGGCUCACUGGCCCGGAACUGACGCUGAGGUGCGAAAGCGUGGGGAGCAAACAGG